UCCGCCACGCCGCGGUCGUCCGUCCCUCCUGCUUUUAUUGGGAACUUCGGAACUCCCGAAUGACGUCAUGACUGCUGCCUACGUUCGCACACACGCAAGGGUACGGUGAGAAAACCAAUACCAGUACCGACUGAGCGAAUACGCGGUGCUCGUGGACUCUAACCUGUCCUCUGAAAUGUAGACGAGCGAGAAGCCACGUGCGCGUGCGCGCGCUGCACGGCUGAGUACACGAACAAUGCGAUUCCUUUCAACCGCACGAACAUUUAGGUAUGCACAAUGCACAUGUAACUAACGUAAGCCCACCGGAGGUACGUACUAUCAAACGAUUUUCACGAUUCCGAAUUCUACGCGAACGAUGAUUGUUGUUUACGUCCGCCAUGGCGGGCACGAGAAAAUGGACGCCGAUGGGACGUUCUUUUGUUUUCCUAACCUCUCCGGAGAUUCUGCGCCAUGGUCGUUUCGAAGAGAGAAAAAAGAAAAUGCAACUGGAAAUCAUUCGAUUUUCGGAAACCACCCGUCAACAUUUCAAGUGGGAAAUCAGAAGUACACGACAAUAUCGGCGUCAUAAUUAGGUGUCGUCUGGUUGUAGUUAACGGGAUAUCUCUACGCUACGACAUGGCAUGAUAAUACUGACGCCGCGCGAAUGAUCCCCGACUCGGAAUCUGACUCAGAAUCCGAAUCAGAAUCCUCUCUACUCCUCGUGUCGAGUAUGCGCCGUCUGGGUUGGCUGACUAUAGCUCCGCAGUUCCAAGAACCACCGGGCAAUUCUAUGUAUCGAACCACUUCUACGGUGCCAUGCCGGGUGAUCGGUGUAGGUGAAGGAGAUGAAGACGGAGACGGAGACGGAGACGGAGAUGAAGAUGAAAAUCGAGAUGGAGAUGGAGAUAGAGACGGCGACGCGGAGGGGCGAGGGAAGAGCGCAGCAGCACCGGGCGGACGUCGAGAUAUAGGUGAGUCCUCAGCGCUGGCGCGGUGCCUUUCAGGUAAGGGGGGGGGGGGGGGGGGAGCGGAAGAAGAAGACGAAGACGAAGAAGAAGAGGGAGGAGACAACGGCGAGGGUGCCCUCCGUCCAGAGAAGUGAAGGGAGGAAGGGAGAUGGACGAAACGGAGAUGGAGGAGGCGAUGGAAGAGGCUGGGGCGAUGAGGAGAGACGCGAAGAAUCUCCGGAGCAACACACGCGAGACCGAGAGACCGAGGAGGCGACGUGGGUCGCGGGCGUCCUCGGUAACCCGGCGAAGCGGAGGAAAGGGGAAUAACUCUUGGGAUUUCCUAGAAGCGACGGCGAUCGGGCGAGCGACGUGAAAACGCGGAGAACCUCGCUGCAGCAGCCAGCGGCAACGGCUCGACAACCUCGGCGGCGGCGGGGGACACCGGUACGAGGCACCGGAUUCUCUCGGGAGAUCCAGUCGACUCGAUAUACGCGGUGACGUGUCUGGUAUUCUCUCUUUCUUUCUUCCCUCAUCCCCCCCCCCCUCUUCUUCUUCUUCUCUCCCCUAUCUUCGUUUACAUCAUUGGAUGUGUUACACCGCAUAAAAACCUACACACUCGACGAGGCGACGACGCAUCGUCCGCCGUUGGUGGGAAUUGGACCGCGAUCCGUCUAAUCCGAGCGAGAGGACCCGCCGAUCGCCAAAUGAAACAAACGUCAGCGAGCUCUGCGGUACACGCUAGGUCCAUCGAGUGCGACAACGAACCACGUCGACGACCGAAAUCUGGGUGAGUUCCUCCCUGAUGCGGAAAAAAAAAUACAAAUCAAGUUACCGCUUUGACUGGUACGAUUUUAUUCGACGCCGAUGUUGUACCGCGGGAAGGGGGAAAAGAACCACCCCCGUAACAGCGUCGUAAAAUUGCGUUGGG
rnacentral:lncRNA from 1 species